CCUCUAGUAGUCCAGAGAGCAAAGCAGGCUGCACUUAAAAGAGCAAGUGUUGCAAUCCAAGGGAGUAAAGUGAUUAUAGCAAUCCCCAGAGUGAUAAUAGCUCUCCAAUUCCCCAAACAUGAGCCAUGACUUCAUGAAGGGGUAAAGCGUUCUGUUUAAUGGAAGCCACACACGGCCUUUUAUGUCAGGGCAUUCCCCACUAGAGAGUAGACUUCAGCAAAAAU